GCACCAGACUCCUACGGGAGGCAGCAGUGAGGAAUAUUGGUCAAUGGGAGAGAUCCUGAACCAGCCAAGCCGCGUGAGGGAAGACGGCCCUAUGGGUUGUAAACCUCUUUUGUCGGGGAGCAAAGCGAACCACGUGUGGUUCAUUGAGAGUACCCGAAGAAAAAGCAUCGGCUAACUCCGUGCCAGCAGCCGCGGUAAUACGGAGGAUGCGAGCGUUAUCCGGAUUUAUUGGGUUUAAAGGGUGCGCAGGCGGAGGUGCAAGUCAGCGGUCAAAUUGCGGGGCUCAACCCCGUACUGCCGUUGAAACUGCAUCCCUUGAGUGCGCGAGAAGUAUGCGGAAUGCGUGGUGUAGCGGUGAAAUGCAUAGAUAUCACGCAGAACUCCGAUUGCGAAGGCAGCAUACCGGCGCGCAACUGACGCUCAUGCACGAAAGCGUGGGUAUCGAACAGGAUUAGAUACCCCGGUAU
rnacentral:rRNA from 1 species